ACAGUGCAGAUGUCAUGGUAGUCAUGACAGCUGUUGCUGGCGUUGCAGCUGUGGUCACAUCUGCAGCCGGGGAUCUGGUCGUCAUAGGGCUCGUAGCAUCGAUGCCUGCAGGACGUGUGGGGGACGACUGGAAGAGGAAGACGGGACAACACGGGUUAUUUUAUCUGGUUAUUUUGGCAGCUCUCCUACAGAUCAUCCACAUGUGAAUGGCGGCCGUGGAUACAAACUUUACUCUGACCGACAAUGAUGACCUGUGACAUGUGACACCACCCCGUUUCCAUUGGCUCCCGGAGCCCCACAACACGCCUUGAGCUACAAAUUGGCCCGUCCAUGUCCACCACCGCCUCGGUGAGCAGCGCGAGGUGCACCGGGCUGCGCGUUGUGCGCUGCGCCUUGAUUCACGACACGGCGUCAUCAUGUUUGGCUGCGUAAGCUCGAGGCUUUUUCCUACACUCCUAAAAAAUGGCCAAACCAAAUGAAAACUGUCCUACAGGUUAACUUCCACAGUGGAAAGCGUCAAUCAGCUUUUGACUCAGCACACUCGUGUGAUUAUUAUAAGCAGAAAAGGAAGAGCUCUUGAUGAUAAGAAUAACAAAGUGUGAAAUCAACAAAAAAAAAUGCUGCUUAGUCAUCAGAAAAUGUAUGCAAAGCCAAAACCUCAGGACUUUUGUCAUAAACAGAAUGACUGUUCCUCGUGUGAGUCAGCACUGUCUGUGCCAAUUAAAGUCACAGGAGUGAGCAGACCACCGGAUACAAAUGGUCUACUGAGCUUUGAGGUGAAUGUAACCCCCCCCCCACCCCCCCCAGGGUAGGCGCUGCCUUGUCCGAUACUGUGCUUACUAAAUAGUUGCUGACCCACAUGCAUGGCUGAUGACUAAGCACGUCACUCACCUCUCUGCUCUUAUGACAAACCAGACUGCAUGAUGAGAAAAGAGGAUGUGGGUCUUGAGAAUGGUAUGAAAAAUAGAAAAUAAAAUGCAAUCAAAUGCAGAGGUAAAAAA